AGCUUCUACUCGAGCGUUUAUAAAAAAGAUGCGGCUAGCACCUCACAGAGACACAAAACUAUAUUUAUGAACUUUGGGACCUGGAUUAAAAAUGCUAUUUUCUGAUCUCCCAAGACGCGGAAUCCGAGUGGACGCCCAGCCUUAUGACUGAAACCUUUGUGGGUCCGAUUGAAAUCGUGUCAGUGUCCAUCCAGGCCUAGUUUGGCGUCUUGUACUUGACCUACAAGUAGGCCGCAGAGAUGGCUAGCAGCACGCGGGAGGGCCAAGUUUGAAAUAGCUGCCUUGGUUAUUCGAGCAGCACACAAGGAGAGAGACCCGACCAUGGCCUCUCAGUGGCGGUUUGCUUGGUUGCUGGCGUCCCUGAAACAUGUGAGGCGAUGUAAUGGCAUCUGGAGCUAGCAGUUAAUCGAUUAUGGAUUUACUACAAUGAAGGUAAGGUCACUUCCGUCAAGCUGAGGACUCCCUACAAGGGACCGACUGGAGCUGAGAGAAGACGGAGCAGAGACGCAACAGAAAGUGCUUCUACACUGCUCCUUUCUAUGUCUUCUUCCUGGUUUCUCAAUGGCUGCUCAUUAAGAGCCUGGUUCUGAUGGAGGAUAUCUUCGCCCUUACCACAUACUUGCCCAGGAUGAAGAAUUUCUCGAAAGUCGGACUUGACACCAUCAGCAGAGCUUUCUUGACUUUAAUCAAUUACUGUUAAAACGAUCAACUGAAUUUUUCUGAAAUGGAUUGGAUGUAUUAUAUGACUAGACUGCAUAGAAAUGAAAAUGACUGAUUUGUGAAGAGUGCUUUAACAUAUUUGUUGUGAAUUUGUUCUUUAUAAAUAAACCAAACUUAAUUGAAAUGGGAAGUCAAUGACAGUGGCUUAAUCUUAAUGCAGUAUGGUUAAAUAGCUUGUUAAUCUGGUAACAAAGAUGCUCACCAUCAUUAAGCAAGAUAAAAAAA